rnacentral:rRNA from 1 species
AAAAACACAAUAUUGUCCGCCAGAGAACUACAAGUGAAAAACUAGAAACUCCAAGGACUUGGCGGUGCCCCACAUCAACCUAGAGGAGCCUGUCCUAUAAUCGAUAAUCCACGCUGCACCUUACCAUUUCUAGNCAAUUCAGCCUAUAUACCGCCGUCGAAAGCCUACCUUAUGAAAGAAUUAAAGUAAGCAAAAUAGUCAACAACUAAAACGUCAGGUCAAGGUGUAGCACAUGAAAUGGAAGAGAUGGGCUACAUUUUCUACCCUAGAAAACACGAACAGCACAAUGAAAUCUGUACUCGAAGGCGGAUUUAGCAGUAAGACAAAAAAGAAAAU